AAAUGUGUAAGUAACUAUGCACGUCUUGACGGUACCUAAUCAGAAAGCCACGGCUAACUACGUGCCAGCAGCCGCGGUAAUACGUAGGUGGCAAGCGUUAUCCGGAAUUAUUGGGCGUAAAGCGCGCGUAGGCGGUUUUUUAAGUCUGAUGUGAAAGCCCACGGCUCAACCGUGGAGGGUCAUUGGAAACUGGAAAACUUGAGUGCAGAAGAGGAAAGUGGAAUUCCAUGUGUAGCGGUGAAAUGCGCAGAGAUAUGGAGGAACACCAGUGGCGAAGGCGACUUUCUGGUCUGUAACUGACGCUGAUGUGCGAAAGCGUGGGGAUCAAACAGGAUUAGAUACCCUGGUAGUCCACGCCGUAAACGAUGAGUGCUAAGUGUUAGGGGGUUUCCGCCCCUUAGUGCUGCAGCUAACGCAUUAAGCACUCCGCCUGGGGAGUACGACCGCAAGGUUGAAACUCAAAGGA
rnacentral:rRNA from 1 species